GAGGUCUGGGGAGGAGGCCCCUGGUUCUCGCAGUCCGCGGGCCAGCUGUCCAUGGGGGAGGUCGAGGGGCAGGAGGAUGGCAGGAGGAUGGUGAUGGCUUCCCUGGGGGCAACAGGCAGCUCUUACCUCUCUGAGCUCUGGACCUGCCUAUCCCUGGACAGGGACAGUGUGCUGUCACACUUCUCUCCUAUCAGAUGAUGAAGUCCUUGAGGCACUCAGAGAAGUCUGAAAGCCUAGAAGUCUGCAUCCUCAAGGACAGGCCUUGAGUGCUUUGGAAUUGGCUCCGUGCUUGGAUGUGUGCUGGGUCCGGGGCUUCCAGGGAACAGGCUUUGGGCGCAGUUGAUAACGGGGAGAGCAAGCAUAUGGCAAGGGACAGAGACCUGGGCAAAUCUCAAGUUUCAGUGGCUGCAGGGAGGGGAGAGGAGGUGUCUCAGCAAGGAGGAGAGUUGAGGGCAAACUGUCUGGAUGCUCGAAUCCCUAGUAGGAGCGAGCGCAAGUCUCCGGAGGGAAGGGAAGGAGGCUUGGAGCCAUCACGAAUGCGAUUAGUGGCCUUAUGAAAGCGGCCUGAGAUGGCUUCCUUGCCCCUCCCCCCAUGUGAGGACACAGCAAGAACUCUGCACCCAGAAGAGGGCCUUCACCAUGACCCUGAAAUGCUGGCACCCUGAUCUUGGACUUCCAGCCUCCAGAACUGUGGGCGAUAAAUGUUUGUGGUUUAUAAACCCUCUACUCUGUGGGAUUUUGUUGAGCAGCCUGAAUGGGCUAAGCCAAAGUGUGUAUAUUUGUGAUUUAUAUUUUUCUGGAAGAUUUGGAGAAAGUAAAAUGUUAUAUUAAUACAAACAUAG